rnacentral:rRNA from 1 species
GGAAGUAAAAGUCGUAACAAGGUCUCGUUGGUGAACCAGCGGAGGGAUCAUUACCGAGUUGCAAAACUCCCAAACCCACGCGUACCUACCUACACGUUGCUUCGCGGUGCCGCCGCGGGGGGUGCCCAGCUGCUGGGCCCCCCCGGGGCGCCCGCCGGAGGCCACUAAAACUCUUCUGUAUCUCGCGUACCAUCUGAGCGAAUGGCGAAUAAUAAAAACUUUCAACAACGGAUCUCUUGGUUCUGGCAUCGAUGAAGAACGCAGCGAAAUGCGAUAAGUAAUGUGAAUUGCAGAAUUCAGUGAAUCAUCGAAUCUUUGAACGCACAUUGCGCCCGCCAGCAUUCUGGCGGGCAUGCCUGUUCGAGCGUCAUUUCAACCCUCAGGCCCUGCCUGGCGUUGGGGCGCCGCGGCGGCGAGAGCCCGCGGGCCCUGAAAUACAGUGGCGAGCCCGCUGGACUCCGAGCGUAGUAGCAACACUCGCUCAGGGCGUCCGGCGCGCGUGGCCGUAAAACACCCCAACUCACCAAAGGUUGACCUCGGAUCAGGUAGGAAUACCCGCUGAACUUAAGCAUAUCAAUAAGCGGAGGA